UCAUGCCAGAAGUCGAUGUGCUUUCUUGCCUACCCCUCUUCCAAGGGGCUGGAGCCAGAGAAAAACCCACAGUUUUGGAGGCUUCUCUCCACAGACACACUCCUGACCUGGACCUGAUGGCCUCCUUUUUCUUGAUGUACCAGAGGCCAGUCUGAGACAGGCUUCCACUGAGGGCAACAGACUGUUCACCAGAGCGAAUGGCAAACGGCCCCAGCUCAACAGCAAGUCCACAGCACAGCAGCUGCCGCUAAUGCCAGUGAGGGACUGGCUCAUAAAGCAGGCAGUAUGGACUAAGCCAGAGUCAGAAGGCUCUUUGAGGGCCCGACACUCUCAGUGGAGAGAGUGCAGAAAACAGUGGGGAAGGGGUGGGCUGUCCAGGAUCACCAGGUAGUUAGUAGUGGACCUGGGAUGAAGUAUCAGCCACCUGAGCCAGCCUCUUCCUCCAACUGGCCAUGGCUGGUCCAGAGACCUCAAGCCACACUUUGCCGGUUCUGUAAGCCCAGGACCCCAGUGCUCGAAAAGGAAAGAAGCUGUCCGGGGUGGAGGAAAGGCCAAAAAUGGCACAAGCGAGAUCUACAUCCAUAGCCGUCUGACCUCAAAGCCCAUGUCCACCCCACUGUCUUAAGGACGCCUAGCACAAGGCAACCAAGGUUCUGGUGUGGAUGAGCCAUAGGGCAGAAAGGACAUCACUCUAUGCCCAGGAGGCUUCCUGAGACCAGGGCCCAUCUCCAUCCCCUCAACAAGGAGGCCUCCUGACUCCAGUUUUCUUCCCUUAAACCCUCCCUCACAUGAGCUGGAGAGAACUGAGCAUCAUA